GUCUACGGCCAUACCACCCUGACUGUGUCUGAUCUCCCCGGGUCUGACCUGGUUAGUACGUGGAUGGGAGACCACUUGGGAAUACCGAUGGUCCCAGGUG
ensembl:rRNA 5S_rRNA 5S ribosomal RNA